rnacentral:tRNA from 1 species
CGGGGUGUAGCUCAGUUGGCUUAGAGCGCGCGCUUCGGGUGCGCGAGGUCGCAAGUUCGAGUCUUGUCACCCCGA